GUAUAUGAGGUGAUUAAUUGGAGGGCAAAUCAAGUGCCAGCAGCCGCGGUAAUACUUGUUCCAAGAGUGUGUAUGAUGAUUGAUGCAGUUAAAAAGUCCGUAGUUUAUUUUUUUAAGAAGCAAUAUGAGGUGUACUGUAUAGUUGGGAGAAAGAUGAAAUGUGACGACCCUGACUGGACGAACAGAAGCGAAAGCUGUACACUUGUAUGUAUUUUUUGAACAAGGACGUAAGCUGGAGGAGCGAAGAUGAUUAGAUACCAUUGUAGUUCCAGCAGUAAACUAUGCCGACGAUGUGAUAUGGAAAAUAUUAAUUUGUAUUACAUAAUAGAAAUUUGAGUUUUUUGGCUCUGGGGAUAGUAUGAUCGCAAGAUUGAAAAUUAAAGAAAUUGACGGAAGAAUACCACAAGGAGUGGAUUGUGCGGCUUAAUUUGACUCAACGCGAGGUAACCUACCAAUAUUUUAUUAUUUUGAGAGAACGGUUUUUUGUUUGAGAAUGAUAAUAGUGGUGCAUGGCCGUUUUCAAUGGAUGCUGUGAAGUUUUGAUUAAUUUCAACAAGACGUGAGACCCUUAUUUUUUAUUAAAGACAGACACAAUCAGUGUAGGAAGGAAGGGAUUAAAACAGGUCCGUUAUGCCCUCUGACAUUUUGGGCUGCACGCGCAAUACAAUAGAUAUA
rnacentral:rRNA from 1 species